CUUCGUCUUCUUAUUUUGAAUUCAUCUUUUUAUUAUACCGCGUAACAGAUUUCGUAUCAUCAUCGCCCGCGCAUGAAUGGGGCGUAAUUCUUUACCUCUGAUUCACUCUCGCUCCCUACAGGAUGAUUUGUUGGUUCUUCGUUGAUUUUUUUUUUCCACGUAUCGUUUGACACUGGGUUCGAGCCGAUUCGUUGUUCCAGGAACCGCGUGAUGCUGCAGAAUUGCAGGGAGGAUGCAUCGUGUGUACGUAUAAAAUGUAAAUAAAGGGGGCGAAGGGACGACGCGUUGGAACACAAGUCUGGAAAAGUACGUCACCACGUUCGGAUCCCCCUGAUGACCUUCGGAAGACCUACGUCACUACGAAGUAGGGACUACGCGACGUGUGUCACAUGGGGGACAACGCGUAUUAUAUGCGGGAUUCCUUCGUAAACACGUGAUACCCGUGCGGAAUGUGGAGGGUGAGCAUUUUUCGGGAAUAAUGAUGACGUAUCGGUGAAAAAGAAAGUGAAAAACCGAAGAAUAACAUAAGAGGCAUAAAUCGUAAACGGUAUCUAGUUUUCAGGUUUUAUAUUUCGAGUCCAAAUUUCGAUUACUAACGAUGCGAGAUGCCGUUAAUUAUUGCUGAUGUUAUAUACACGUAUAUUUGUUUUUUAUCGAUUUAUCUUUCCCAUAAUCUUGACCCGGAUCACAAUCCGGUUCAUGGUCGAGUCAUGUUGGAAAUUUCAUAUGUGCAUUCUUGGAAGAAUUCAAAUUAUGAUCAUCUGCGUUCAGCGAUAUGUGGGCCUAUUUUCUCGAGGGCUCUGCUUCGAAACAAUCAAACUUUCAUUAUUGAAUUAGCCAGCGAUGCCUGUAAAGGUGUCAAUUCAAUUGACUCGCUAUCGAAGUUGAUUCGUAGGCCAUCCGACGCUCUCGAUACAGAGAAAGGAGAAGAUUAACGGCGACGGGUGUGAAAUAUUCAAUAAUACCAUGAAAAUUAAUUGCGAAAAUAUUCUAUUGGAUGUCUAAAAUUCGCGUACAUAAUUAGAAUAGACGGUGUGUAACGUGGCACGGCUGCUUUUGCGAAAGUUAUCACAACGAAGACAGUGAUCAAAUUUUGAUCGAAUCCACGGACGAAAAAAAAAAAACUAAGAAAAGAGAAAAAAAAAAAUGGAAAAAAAAGGGAAAAAAAAAAAGAAUCGGCGGGACAGCAGCGCGAGCGGGAUUGCCCAAUCACAUAGACACGCGUAUACAUAAAUACGAGGUGUACAUGUGUAAGUGUGCGUCUCGAUCAUCGAAUGUAUUAAAUUUUAUGUAUCUGGGUAUUUGGGCAGUCUCUGUUUGGUAACCUUGGGCCCGAUUGUGGUGCCAGUGGCAGCGAUCAUCCCGAUUAUUCGGUUCAUUGCUAUGCCAUUACGAAUCCCGUGCGAUAUACGCGAAGGAGCAGCCUGACCGGGCGGUCACAAAUCGACGUCGAACGUUUCGCGUCUUUUUUUAAUACCAGUUGAAUUUUUGCGCAACACCGUGACUCUAGAUUCGUCGGAGCGAAUCGACAAAAGUUUUAGAUUUUCAUCGAUUUCAACGAUUCUGCAAGCCUGUAACAUUCACCGUAGGGCAAUGAGAUUCUGCAACGGAGUUUAGCUCGGAUUAGACUACUUCUCGCCGAGUCCUCGUAGAUAUAUGCAUAUCAUCCUCGGAAAACACGACAAGUUUCACGCACGCUGUCGGCCCACGUCACGCCCAUCGUGACGUGGGGUCGGACGGCAAAAGUAAAAGGAAAAGCAGAAGCGUCGAUCGAAUUCAACGACGAGAAUUCAUCUUCGAAAUUUUUCUAUCUACCGAUCGACCGUCCGGCGUACGACGCGCUGCGGCGCAGGGCGUAACGCCGCGGUCGAUUUUUCUUCCGAGCAAAACGGAGGGGCUCGGGUUGAUCCCAAGUGGUUUUUUUACAUACGAGUAUCAUGAGUCCGGUAUACUGAAAAUAAAUGUCGUGCGCGGAUCGUUAGCAGUUGGAAUCUGUGUUUCGGUGUUUCGAAGUCAAGGUUUUGUAGCAGGUUCGCCGUAUGUUGCUCUUGCUGCCGUUGAUGCUGCUGUUGCAGCGCAACUCGAUCGGCGGAAUGCUAAUGCACGAUCCCGCAGAUUCGGGAUGAUGCGAGAAGUGAGAAUACGCGUCGCUAAAGACCCGUCGCAGCCAACCGAUUCCCGCAACUUCGUCGGAACCCAACCUAACCUAACCCUCGGACGAAUCGCGAUCGAUUCGUAUACCCGCCCUCGCUUUCAAAUGAAAAACAAACGAUAUACGCAGAUCGCAGAUUCAACGCUCGAUAUCUCGAUUCGCUCGAGCGGAGAUCACGUCGUUUCGUCUUGAACGAAAGAUGUUUUCCAGAACCUUCUUUAUCAUGAUAACCCCGGAACAGAAAUCUGACGUCCGUCUUUAGGCUUCCAAAUUAAUUUUCCAAAUCAACAAAAUUUGUCAAUUUCAUAACAAACACCCGGAUCCACACACGUUUCGAAAAGAAAAGCAGGAAGAGAAUUUUCCUAACCCCCUGGAUAAUCAUGUCCUGCUGCCAUCAACCGGGAUCAGGUUGUCCCGCGAGACCGAGUCCUCCCGAAGGUUGCAGAUUCAGUUCUCCGUCAGUUCCGAACAAUUGUCCCGAAAAUUCGGCGAGAAGGGUCUGCAUCGUUCCCCCGAUAGACCAAAAACCUCAUCACAAACCUUGCUGCGUUAGAGCGUACGGGUCUCCCUGCGAAGUCCACCGCCAACCCCAUCGAACGAUCAGAUUCACCGACGCCGAUAUCGCCAUGCAAUAUUGAACAACGAACGAACAUGAUGGGGCGAAACGAUGCGAUUAAUCUGUCGCUGCUGCGAAUCAUUGAAUUCAUUUUGAAAAUGUUCGCCAUAAUCGCCGGGAACGAAAUACUCGUCAAAUUCAGCGUCGUCUGACGAAGGAUUUGUAUUGCGUUGCAUACUUUUUUAACGAUUUCAAGAAAAAUAAAUUUUUUUUUUCGA